rnacentral:rRNA from 1 species
CCUACGGGGGGCAGCAGUGAGGAAUAUUGGUCAAUGGGGGAAACCCUGAAGCAGCAACGCCGCGUGGAGGAUGAAGGUUUUCGGAUUGUAAACCCCUUUUGUUAGAGAAGAUAAUGACGGUAUCUAACGAAUAAGCACCGGCUAACUCCGUGCCAGCAGCCGCGGGAAUACGGGGGGUGCAAGCGUUACACGGAAUCACUGGGCGUAAAGAGCGCGUAGGCGGGAUAGCAAGUCAGAUGUGAAAUCCUAUGGCUUAACCAUAGAACUGCAUUUGAAACUGUUAUUCUAGAGUAUGGGAGAGGUAGGUGGAAUUCUUGGUGUAGGGGUAAAAUCCGUAGAGAUCAAGAGGAAUACUCAUUGCGAAGGCGACCUGCUAGAACAUAACUGACGCUGAUGCGCGAAAGCGUGGGGAGCAAACAGGAUUAGAUACCCGGGUAGUC